rnacentral:rRNA from 1 species
UCCCUACGGGGUGCAGCAGGCGCGAAAACUUUACAAUGCGGGAAACCGUGAUAAGGGAAUCUCGAGUGCCAGCAUAUAAUGUUGGCUGUCCAGAUGCCUAAAAAGCAUCUGUUAGCAAGGGCCGGGCAAGACCGGUGCCAGCCGCCGCGGUAACACCGGCGGCCCGAGUGGUAACCGCUAUUAUUGGGUCUAAAGGGUCUGUAGCCGGCCAGGUAAGUCCCUUGGGAAAUCUGGCAGCUCAACUGUCAGGCUGCUAGGGGAUACUGUUUGGCUUGGGACCGGGAGAGGUGAGAGGUACCUUGGGGGUAGGGGUGAAAUCUUGUGAUCCUCGGGGGACCACCAGUGGCGAAGGCGUCUCACCAGAACGGGUCCGACGGUAAGGGACGAAAGCUAGGGGCACGGACCGGAUUAGAUACCCGGCCUAGUCCUAGCCGUAAACGAUGCUCGCUAGGUGUCAGUCACGGUGCGACCGUGAUUGGUGCCGUAGGGAA